rnacentral:rRNA from 1 species
GAUGAACGCUAGCUACAGGCUUAACACAUGCAAGUCGAGGGGCAGCACGGUGUAGCAAUACACGGGUGGCGACCGGCGCACGGGUGCGUAACGCGUAUCCAACUUUCCCGUUACUCUCGGAUAGCCUUCCGAAAGGGAGAUUAAUACGAGAUGGUGUUCAGUUUCCGCAUGUUUACUGAACUAAAGAUUCAUCGGUCAUGGAUGGGGAUGCGUAAGAUUAGGUAGUAGGCGGGGUAACGGCCCACCUAGCCGACGAUCUUUAGGGGUUCUGAGAGGAAGGUCCCCCACACUGGUACUGAGACACGGACCAGACUCCUACGGGAGGCAGCAGUGAGGAAUAUUGGUCAAUGGGCGGAAGCCUGAACCAGCCAAGUAGCGUGAAGGAUUACUGCCCUACGGGUUUUAAACUUCUUUUAUGCGAGAGUAAUGUGCGCUACGUGUAGCGUAUUGCAAGUAUCGCAUGAAUAAGCAUCGGCUAACUCCGUGCCAGCAGCCGCGGU